GAUAGGGUUUAUAAAGUAAAGAGAAGAAGAGUUCCCAAACUCUUCAAUCCAGUGUCCCGUUCGUCUAGAGGCCUAGGACACCGCCCUUUCACGGCGGUAACAGGGGUUCGACUCCCCUACGGGAUACCAUCUUUAAACAUUCUCUCUUGAGAGUUUUUAAAAAUGGUUACUUCAUUAGAAGUGAUUAGCUCU
rnacentral:tRNA from 1 species